rnacentral:rRNA from 1 species
AACGAACGCUGGCGGCAGGCUUAACACAUGCAAGUCGAACGCCCCGCAAGGGGAGUGGCAGACGGGUGAGUAACGCGUGGGAACGUGCCCUUCGCUUCGGAAUAGCCCCGGGAAACUGGGAGUAAUACCGGAUACGCCGUAUUGGGAAAGAUUUAUCGGCGAGGAUCGGCCCGCGUUAGAUUAGCUAGUUGGCGGUGUAAUGGACCACCAAGGCUACGAUCUAUAGCUGGUCUGAGAGGAUGAUCAGCCACACUGGGACUGAGACACGGCCCAGACUCCUACGGGAGGCAGCAGUGGGAAUCUUGGACAAUGGGCGCAAGCCUGAUCCAGCCAUGCCGCGUGAGUGAAGAAGGCCUUAGGGUUGUAAAACUCUUUCGCCGGAGAAGAUAAUGACGGUAUCCGGAGAAGAAGCCCCGGCUAACUUCGUGCCAGCAGCCGCGGUAAU